CUUCGAUGAGGAGACGAUGACGAGUCUGACUGGGGUGUUGCUGUCCAGGGCCCCUGCCCCGAGCUGCGUCCUGCGGCGCCGUGGUCGGGGCCCCGGGUCAGAGUCGCCACCAGACGAUGACCGAGAGGCAUUUGUCUGAGAAGG